ACUUAAGUAGUUUAUUUAAAAUGUUGAUUUGUGGAAUCAGUGAAACAGUUAUGUCUUAGGUU
rnacentral:tRNA from 1 species